rnacentral:rRNA from 1 species
CGCGAAUAGCUCAUUACAACAGCUAUAAUUUACUUGAUCUUGACAAUCCUACUUGGAUAACUGUGGUAAUUCUAGAGCUAAUACAUGCACCAAAGCUCCGACCUCGCGGGAGGAGCGCAUUUAUUAGAACAAAACCAAGCGGGCGCCUCACGGUGCUUGUGAUUUGUUGACUCAGAAUAACUAAGCUGAUCGCAUGGUCUUGCACCGGCGACGUGUCUUUCAAGUAUCUGCCUUAUCAACUUUCGAUGGUAGUGUAUCUGACUACCAUGGUUGUGACGGGUAACGGAGGAUAAGGGCUCGACUCCGGAGAAGGGGCCUGAGAAAUGGCCACUACGUCUAAGGAUGGCAGCAGGCGCGCAAAUUACCCACUCUCAGAACACUGAGGAGGUAGUGACGAGAAAUAACGAGGCCGUUCUCUAUGAGGCCGGUCAUCGGAAUGGGUACAAUCUAAACCCUUUAACGAGUAUCUAUGAGAGGGCAAGUCUGGUGCCAGCAGCCGCGGUAAUUCCAGCU